AGAAGAAACAACAUCUCCCAGCAACAUCCAAGUCUUCCUGGUGCCCUCAUCCCUCACCGCCCUGAACGUGACCCAGAGUCCCAUGCUCACCUGUCUGGUGGUCAACCUGCCGAGCGACUCCAGCCUCCAGAUCGUCUGGUCCCGGGAGAAGACAGAGUCCAUUAGCCCUGAUCCUCGCUGAGCAGUUCAACGGCACCUUCACCGCCUCCAGCUCCAUGCCCAUCUUCACCCGUGACUGGGAGGCUGGAGAGACCUUUACCUGCAAAGUGGAGCACUCAGAGCUACCCUCUCCCCUCAUCAAAUCCAUCUCCAAGAAGCCAGGCAAGCACUCCACCCCGGGCAUCUACCUCCUGCGUCCCCACAACGAGGAGCUGAGCAGCAAAGGAGACUCUGUCAGCCUCACCUGCCUGGUGCGGGGCUUCUUCCCCGAGGACAUCUCGGUGCAGUGGAUGAAGAACAACGAAGGUGAAAAGGAGACUGACAACAUCACCAGUCCACCCAUGAAGGACAAAGAUGGUGACUCAAACUUCUUCCUCUACAGCAAGCUGAAAGUCAGCAAGGCCAGCUGGAACAGCGGGGACACCUACACCUGCAUGGGCAUCCACAAAGCCCUGCAGAUGAAGUUCACGCAACGCAGUGUCAGCAAAGUCUCCGGUAAAUGAAGACGGCUCCUCCCAGCCCCGCUGUUAGCAUUGUCCAGUACAGCUUCCUGUAAAUAAUCUCUGUGCCCUCAGUGAUGACAAGUGAAUAAAUGAAACUAGUCUGAGCUCA